AGCUUUGCGCAGUGGCAGUAUCGUAGCCAAUGAGGUUUAUCCGAGGCGCGAUUAUUGCUAAUUAAAAGUUCAAGUAAUAGAAAUGUAUUAAAAUAUGAACAUAUAUUGUAUAUGUAUUACACUACAUUAUUUUAUAAUA